GUUUGUGUGUGGAUGGUGUUCAGCACCAAGGACAGGUGUGCUAGUGUGUGGCUGGUGUUAAGGACCAGAGAGAGGUGUGUUUGCGU
rnacentral:pre_miRNA from 1 species